rnacentral:lncRNA from 10 species
AGGCAACAAGACUUAAGACAACAAAAGCCCUUUAUGGAGAGAAAUUAUUAAGACAAAUACCCCUGAGGGCUUUGCACAUUUGAAACAGAGUGAGAUGCUUAAGAUCUUAGGUGUUUCAGAGUUUCCAAUCUUUUCAGACUAGUCACCAGAAGUGACCAAAAAUUAUAUCCCCCAGAUAGUGAGUCCAAGAGUGUUCUUACUUUGUCACAAGUCAAGCUCUCCAGGACAUAAACAAGACUAGAGAGGAAUCUCAUCUAGCUUUCAUAUUAGGGUCUAUGGUAUCCCUUUUUAUGACAAAAUGACACAGGAAGACAGUCACGAAGGAACAAAAAAAGACUGUUUCUGGGAGGAAUAGGGUCAGACAUUAUAAACAUUUAUACUGCUGCACCUGAAGAUAGCCUGUGUAAAUGUUUUUCUCCCAUUAAUCAACAUUUUAGAGAGGAAAAGAAGACAAACAGAGAUUUUUUUUUACCAUUCACUCAACCAGAUUCCACAGAAACAGACCAGGAUCCUGACUGUAUUGAUAUGCCUCCAAUGAGUGGAGUAACACCAGGUUCUCCGUUUCAAGUUGAACUGGAAGAAACGACAUGGACACACGUAGAGUGGUUUUAAGGAGUGGAGAGUUUAAUUGGCAAGAAAGAAGGAAGAAGGCAGAAGGAAGAAGCUCCCCUGUACAGAGACAGAGGGAGGGGGGCUCCAAAACCAUAAGAGAAGGCCUGACAUUUGGGGGAUACCAGUCAGUUUUAUGGAUGGCUGGAGGAAGAGGUGUCUGAUUUGCAUAGGGCUCAGGGGAUUGGUUUGGCCAGGCACGUCAUUCAUGUAGCCCACAAAAUAGCUGGCCAUUCCGCCCCAGUCUUUUAAUAUGCAAAUGAAGGGCACCAUGAUGUCCUACACACGUUGGAUAUAUGGGGCAGCCAUGCUGCUAGGCGUAUAUGCGGGCAAGGGCAAGAAGACAAUGGUGGGACUCACCAUGUUGGGGAGACCCAGUUUCUAAUGGCGUGCAUUUGCAUAUCAAAGGUUGCUGGCCUGGCCUAAGGGCCAGGGCUUUCAUGCUAGACGAGAAACAUUUCUAGAGCUGUUUUAAAAAUGAAAACUCUCCAAGGACCCCUUUUCCUCUCUAUCUGCUUAAAAUAACUUUAAUAACUCCUACCACAGUAUACUAAGAUAUUUGAAACUCUGAAUGCAGUCUCUGAAUUGCACUUUUAGAUAUUUAUCAAAAACAUUGCUGUUCCUUCACUUUCUCCUGUCCUCCUAAGUUUCCAAUUAUACACAGGUUAUUAAUAGAAGUUGUGAGCAUGUCCUCUUUUAUAUUCUGUUAAUGUAUCAAUUCUUUUUUUUCUCUUUGUCCUUCAGUUUCAUUGUUUUCCAUUCACCUGUCUUCCAGAUCACAAAUUCUGUGUUUUGAUGUAUGUCCAAUUAGCUGUUAACCCUAUUUUCUGGAUUCUUAAUUUUAAUUUU